rnacentral:pre_miRNA from 1 species
GGAAUAGGAAGGCUUUGAGGAGGUUUAUGGAGUGGAAGGGUAGGAAAGAAGUAACUUCCUUUUURGGUCUCAAAUUCUGGAGAUCGAAUUUCUUUCCUAACCCUCCCAUUCCUUCAAUUUCCUAAAGRUUAUCCCUUUUCC